rnacentral:rRNA from 1 species
AGUCGAGCGAACAGACGAGGAGCUUGCUCCUCUGACGUUAGCGGCGGACGGGUGAGUAGCACGUGGAUAACCUACCUAUAAGACUGGGAUAGCUUCGGGAAACCGGAGCUAAUACCGGAUAAUAUAUUGAACCGCAUGGUCCAAUAGUGAAAGACGGUUUUGCUGUCACUUAUAGAUGGAUCCGCGCCGCAUUAGCUAGUUGGUAAGGUAACGGCUUACCAAGACAACGAUGCGUAGCCGACCUGAGAGGGUGAUCGGCCACACUGGAACUGAGACACGGUCCAGACUCCUACGGGAGGCAGCAGUAGGGAAUCUUCCGCAAUGGGCGAAAGCCUGACGGAGCAACGCCGCGUGAGUGAUGAAGGUCUUCGGAUCGUAAAACUCUGCUACUAGGGAAGAACAAAUGUGUAAGUAACUAUGCACGUCUUGACGGUACCUAAUCAGAAAGCCACGGCUAACUACGUGCCAGCAGCCGCGGUAAUACGUAGGUGGCAAGCGUUAUCCGGAAUUAUUGGGCGUAAAGCGCGCGUAGGUGGUUUUUUAAGUCUGAUAUGAAAGCCCACGGCUCAACCGUGGAGGGUCAUUGGAAACUGGAAAACUUGAGUGCAGAAGAGGAAAGUGGAAUUCCAUGUGUAGCGGUGAAAUGCGCAGAGAUAUGGAGGAACACCAGUGGCGAAGGCGACUUUCUGGUCUGUAACUGACGCUGAUGUGCGAAAGCGUGGAGAUCAAACAGGAUUAGAUACCCUGGUAGUCCACGCCGUAAACGAUGAGUGCUAAGUGUUAAGGGGUUUCCGCCCCUUAGUGCUGCAGCUAACGCAUUAAGCACUCCGCCUGGGGAGUACGACCGCAAGGCUGAAACUCAAUGGAAUUGACGGGGACCCGCGCAAGCGGUGGAGCAUGUGG